rnacentral:rRNA from 1 species
UACGGGGGGGGCAAGCGUUGUUCGGAAUUACUGGGCGUAAAGGGCUCGUAGGUGGCCAACUAAGUCGGACGUGAAAUCCCUCGGCUUAACCGGGGAACUGCGUCUGAUACUGGAUGGCUUGAGUUCGGGAGAGGGAUGCGGAAUUCCAGGUGUAGCGGUGAAAUGCGUAGAGUAUCUGGAGGAACACCGGUGGCGAAGGCGGCAUCCUGGACCGACACUGACGCUGAGGAGCGAAAGCCAGGGGAGCAAAGCGGG